UGGGGAAUCUUGCCCAAUGGGCGAAAGCCUGAGGCAGCAACGCCGCGUGUGGGAUGACGGCCCUCGGGUUGUAAACCACUUUCAGUAGGGACGAAAAUGACGGUACCUACAGAAGAAGCUCCGGCCAACUACGUGCCAGCAGCCGCGGUAAUACGUAGGGAGCGAGCGUUGUCCGGAUUUAUUGGGCGUAAAGAGCGCGUAGGCGGUUCGGUAAGUCGGAUGUGAAAACUCCAAGCUCAACUUGGAGCCUGCAUCCGAAACUGCUGUGACUAGAGUCUGGUAGGGGAACACGGAAUACCUGGUGUAGCGGUGAAAUGCUUAGAUAUCAGGUGGAACACCAGUGGCGAAGGCGGUGUUCUGGGCCAGUACUGACGCUGAGGCGCGAAAGCGUGGGGAGCGAACAGG
rnacentral:rRNA from 1 species